UACGUAGGGGCCUAGCGUUGUCCGGAAUUAUUGGGCGUAAAGGGCUCGUAGGCGGUUUGUCGCGUCGGGAGUGAAAACUCAGGGCUUAACCCUGAGCCUGCUUUCGAUACGGGCAGACUAGAGGUAUGCAGGGGAGAAUGGAAUUCCUGGUGUAGCGGUGAAAUGCGCAGGUAUCAGGAGGAACACCGGUGGCGAAGGCGGUUCUCUGGGCAUUACCUGACGCUGAGGAGCGAAAGUGUGGGGAGCGAACAGG
rnacentral:rRNA from 1 species